rnacentral:rRNA from 1 species
CCUACGGGGGGCAGCAGUGGGGAAUAUUGCACAAUGGGCGCAAGCCUGAUGCAGCCAUGCCGCGUGUGUGAAGAAGGCCUUCGGGUUGUAAAGCACUUUCAGCGGGGAGGAAGGCGGUAAGGUUAAUAACCUCAUCGAUUGACGUUACCCGCAGAAGAAGCACCGGCUAACUCCGUGCCAGCAGCCGCGGUAAUACGGAGGAUGCAAGCGUUAAUCGGAAUUACUGGGCGUAAAGCGCACGCAGGCGGUCUGUCAAGUCGGAUGUGAAAUCCCCGGGCUCAACCUGGGAACUGCAUUCGAAACUGGCAGGCUAGAGUCUUGUAGAGGGGGGUAGAAUUCCAGGUGUAGCGGUGAAAUGCGUAGAGAUCUGGAGGAAUACCGGUGGCGAAGGCGGCCCCCUGGGCAAAGACUGACGCUCAGGUGCGAAAGCGUGGGGAGCAAACAGGAUUAGAUACCCCGGUAGUC